AAACUCUGCAUUUAUAUAAAUUUCCCAGGAGAGCAUUUGAUAGAAUUAUGAUUUAUGUACCACCUUCUUGACCACAGAAAUCUGGACUGCAGACAUAGAAAAAGCACAGUCCUGUGAAAACAAUCCUGUAAUCAAGACUUGAUGUUAGAGGUACCCAGCUUAACUAAUGUAGAAGGAUUUAAUCAUGGAAGCAGUGCAAAUAUACAUUUCUAAGUGGUUUUAUUUUUAGGUGCCCAUCACCCAUAGAAGGCACAUUCAAUGGUAAGACCAUCUAACCUACAAUAUGUAUACUGGGACUUUGAAUGCCCGUUAUACAUGAGGAUAAAUUGUGAAAUCACUGUAUCGAAGAAGAGCAAACAAAAUUACGAGACUAGAACUGUUUCUGUUGCACAAAUACCUGAUGACGAACAAUUCCCAUGGGAUGCUGUUUGGAGUCACUGGACUGGGAUGCAUCUUUGGUCUACUGAACCCAUCUUCGCUUUUCUUAGCAUCUGGGCAGUUUUGAGAAUGGUUCUGAUUGUAUGAUGAACACAAAUACCAUCUCUGCACUUCAUCUUUCACAUGAUAGAAAACGCAGCUUCUCAGUCAGCCUCUGCUGUUGAAUGAAAAGCACUGUAACAUAAAAAAGUAACUGACCUCCAGAAAUGUCCCAGUUCCCCUGACCCUGCUGUGAAAAACACUGUUUCAAACGCGUCACCCAGGAAGCUCAUGUCUGCUUGUGCAAGCAAUACACAUCUAAGUAAAUUCACAGUUCAGGAUCAAAGAGAAGCUCUGAAGAAGGGAAUAUUAAUAUUAGCUUUUUAAUGAAAAGAGGAAAGGUGACACAGGAAACUAUUGUAAUGUUUGUAAAUGUGACAUCCAUGUGCUCAAGUGUAGAGAGGAAAUGAGGAGGUAAAAUUAUGGUAAGAAAGGAGAGAGGUGUGAGACAGGACAUGAUGAAGACCUGUGGUAAGAGAGAUGUGUGUGACAGGAUAAGGUGGCUCCUGUGGUGUAGAGAGAUGUGUGUGACAGGACCAGGUAAGAGUCUGUGGUGUAGAGAGAUGUGUGACAGGACCAGGUGAAGACCUGUGGUAAGAGAGAUGUGUGUGACAGGGGCAGGUAGAGUCUGUGGUGUAGAGAGAUGUGUGUGACAGGACAAGGUGGAAUCUGAGGUAUACAGAGAUGUAUGAUAGGAUAAGGUGAAGGUCUGUGGUGUACAGAGAAGUGUGACAGGACCAGGUGGAGCCUGUGGCAUGUAGAGAUUAUUGUAAAGAUCAAAGUGAAGACCUCGGGUAUGCAAUUCCAUCAGUCUGUCACAAUGAAAUGUUACCAGACAUAGAAAAUCCUCCUAGUCAGUGAAGAGAGCAGGAGUCACAAACACAGUGAAGGAGAAUCAGAUAGAAAGGAUGGAAAAAGGAUACGUGGGGACGUCUGCUGCGAGACACUGUCAGAGAGAUAAGAGUGGGGUCUAACACUGCAACUAAGACACUGAGGACAAAGCAUGUGCUUCUGGGUCACCACUGAAGAAAUGGAGAUAAGGGUUAGUGAUGAGAUGUCUACAAGGAUAGAUAAAUAGAUGAUGGAUAGAUAGAUAGAUAGAUAGAUAGAUAGAUAGAUAGAUAUACAUAUUCAUCAUUAGAGGGUAGGAGUACUGGAAUGAUUCUGUAAUUAUGAGAACAUGGAAUGAUAGACAAUGGAGGGGGUCACUUGAGUGGAAAAAUUAGUAAAUCAUAGUUGUUAAAGAAUAAUAAAAAUCUCAGUAUUAUUUAAAUGAACAUAAAGAAAAUGGAAUGUCUAUGCAUAAUGUGGAUCCUAUGAGGGAAACUGGUUGAUACAAAGAAACAGAAAAGUAACAAGCACAGGGAAAUACUCAUUUGGAAGAGGAAGAUAUUUGGCAAAGAAGCAACAAGAAACUAAUGAAAAUCAGGGUAGGAGGGCCAGUGUUUAUUGUUGUGUGUUUUAAAUUGUCUUCAGCAUAUAACACCUGUCUCAAUUUAUAUAUAUGCAUAUAUAUUUAUAUAUAUGUAUAUAUAUAUAUGUAUACUCACACACACACACACACACACACACACACACAUUCACACCAUUUGAUUGUUUCAUGAUACCAAUUCCCAAUAUGACCUUUGGUUCUGGAUCUAGUACAGGCCACUUAAACCUCAGAAUUGCAACUACAGCAAACUGUACCCAAACCUUGUGUUGGCAAGUUUGUCUUUGUCCCCACAAGGUUCCCUGAGUCAGACAGGGUUCAUGCUCCACAAAAGACCAUGGCUGAGAUGCCUGCUUUCACCUGACCUCUUCAGUCUUCUCUAUUGUGUCAUCAGAGUCUUGGUCUUUGUUGAGAGUCAGUGAGUGGCUCACUGAGUCUGCCUCCUUCCAGACUCUGACCCUAAAAAGGCUGCCACUGGUAGCUCCAUCCCGGAGGGCUUUAUGAGCAGAUACAACUGGGUUCAACUCUGUCUGUCUGCUCUCCCCUGGGGCCACCAAGGAAUGUUUUGCCAAUAUGAAACAUGACAUUAUUAAUUCAAUUUGAUUGGCUUAUUGCAUCAGCAUCCACAGAAUUCCAGUAACCGGAGAUUUUAACUUCACACGGUGUUUCUUCAUGGCUGUGGCUGCUCAGAGCACUGUUCUCGCAUGAUCAAUGAAUGUGACCAGGUGUGCUCCAACAUGGAACUUUUCAUUUUUACUGAUCACUUUUUAUGAAGAUAUGAUUUAAAAUAUAAUUCUGUAGAUGGAACACCUUGAAGUCCAAGCCAGGACAGAAGGACAGAGAGCACGGUGAAACUGAGGUCCAUACUCAGUUUCUGAGAAACAACUGGACAUCCAGCAUGCUUAACCACUCCAUGAAAGGUAAUUCUCAGAGUCCAGUUGGAAAACUGAAAGACAAUCAAAGGGAAGAAUGAGAAUAACACAUCAGACACCGCUACAGCCACCGCCCCAAGUAUGACACCCUCAGCAGACAGUGAUGAUGAGUCUUUCUCAGAAGACCAGAAAAUGAGAUCAAAGAUCAGGACUUUGUUUUCCCUGUUGAAUCUGCACAAGGUGCUGCUCUCUCCCUCCAUGUCUGCUCUGCCUACUUCCAAGCUGGACAAAGUGCUGCUUCAUCCGUCCCUCAUCGUGUUGGUCCCCUUUUUUUCCCCUUGGCAGUUUUACUUACAGACACAAUGGUGAUUCUGCACAUCAGUGGGAAAAUCUGGACACAACAAGUGGGAAGGUCAAGCAGGGUUUGUCAUUCUGAGACUGACUUAAUUUGUUUAACAUGACUAUCUCCAUUUGUGUCCAUCUUCCCGUGAAUGGCAGGACUUUAUUAUAUUUGAGAGAAAGUAGCCUACACUGGCCUUGAACUCACUAUGCUGGGAAUGGUGGCCUUGGACUUCUGCCCUCCUGUCUUCACCUCCCUAGUGUUGAAAUAUUCCUUCCAUUCAUAUUCUCUUUGAUGAAAUAGUCUUCCUUUUGUGAAGUGCUGUGGAUUUGGUAGAAAGCCUUUUCUCCAUAUACUAAGAUGCUCAUAUGAUCUGUUCAUUUGUGAAUGUACUACAUUUAUUGGUUUUCCUGUGGUAAGCCAUUUCUGUAUUUCUGAAUGAAUGACAUCUUUUGAUGCACCGUGUGCUGGCUAGUUGUAUGUCAACUUGACACAAGCUAGGGUCAUUACGAGGAAAGAAUCUCAGCUGAGAAAAGUCUCCCACAGACUGACCUUUAAAAAGCCUGAGUGACAUUUUCUUGAUUAGUGCUUGGUGUGAGAAGGAUCAGCCAACUGCAGAGUUGUGUCACCCCCAUGCCCGUGAUCCGGGGUGCUGUAAGAAAGAAGCCAAGCAAACCAUGAGGAGCAAGUCAUGACUUGAAGAACAGAAUGAAGAGACCCCUCUGUUGUGUCUGUUCAAGUUCCUGCUGUGGCUUUCCUCAGUGGUGGACUAAUAAUCUUUAUGUGAAAACAACUUUUCAUUCCAUCCCCAGUUGAUUUGGGUCAGGGUGUUUAUCACAGCGGUAGAAAUCCUAAAUUAGAGAAUGACAAUGGGAUGAUGACUUUUCUUUGCAUCGAAAUGCCUGUGUAGGAGAUUCAGAAUUACUAAACAUUGUUCUUAAUAAUGGAUAUUCAGUCAACAAACUAGAUAAUGACCCCUGGGCACACUUUCAUUAUGCAUGCUGGUAAGUAGAAUAUUCUCUUUACGUAUAUUAAUUGUUAUUAUUCCCGACAGCAUGUGACAUGUUUGUCUUCUGAGCAUUCUGAGCUGAUCUUUUUAUUACUGUGUAUAUACUACUCUUCAUAAUUGCUAAGUCUGCCACAAGUAAAGCACUGGCAGUCUUCUUGGCCACAGCAAGUCAUACAGUAACAUGGCCAGUAGUUAGUAAAUGUCAGUGCAAACCAUGGGGCUCCAUAUUGCCCUGUCAUGAUGCUAUUGUUUUGUAUUACACUGCUCUAUUCUUACUGUAAAAUUGACAUUUGUUAAGUACAUGGGAUUUGAACUUAUAUCAUGUAAGAAAAGUGUCAAUUAAUUGCAUGAUGUAAAAGAUACAUUUGAAUAAACAAAAAGGAAUUUAAAAAAGAAAAUGAUCAAAUUAGCCUUUUCAAAAACUAAGAUAUCAUUAAGCCUAACAAAUCAUUCAGAGAUUCUUAGAAUCACUACCUUUUAUUUUAUCAUAUGUAAUGGUUGCAGAGGUUUAGGUUUAGUUCUUUAUGUUCAUUGCCCAGUAUACCUCUUGGCAUUGGUAUUCUUCUCAUAUAAUAGUGCUGCCUACCUGAACUGAGUUCUUAUUUCAUAACAGUAAUAUGCUCUUACAGAUUAUUUUUUCAAAAAGACAUAAUUAUUCCAUUUUUAUGAGAUUCACUUAAUGUAUUGUUUUAUGUGAUCUUAAUUUAGUAAAUAAUACUACAGAAUUUACUUUCUAUUAAAUGUCCAUAGUAUCAUAAUUGUGUCACACUGAACAAGGAAAUUCACCUCUCUACAAUUCAGUAUCCUUGCCUAUAAAUAAAUUACAUUAAUUAGUGUUGAGAGAGAGCUUGGUGGUGGAAGACUUACCUAGUAUGUACUGAGCCCUGGAUUCAAUAGUCAGCACUAUAAAAAGUAUCAAAUAGUAAUUCUAGAAGUCUUUUCAAUUCAAAUUUUUUAUUUCUCUGUUUCUAAUAGUUGUAUCAAGCUGUUUAAUGGUCAUUUUUAAAUAUCAUAUUUUUCUAUUUCUCUACAAAAUUUCUGUUCUCUCUAUGUACUAUCUAUGGUAAUAGUAGAAACUUGCCAGGCAGGGGAAGAUCUGGGGAGGGCACAGGAAACAGGAACAGCACACACAAAAGGGCACAUGAGUGGAAAUUCACAUGGUUUAUCACUGCUUACAUGUAAUUGUAAGAGUGAAGGAACAUGGUCUGUGGUGACUUCCAGCCUUCCAAACUGGGUGACAUCGUAACCAGAAAAGCGGUAUGAGGAACAGAGUUAGGGCAGAAGACAAUGUUUAGGUUUUAUUGUGUCUGUGAGGCUCCUAAGGGGUCACUACUAGGAAUAUUUAGCCAAAGAUGUCUAGUAGCUAACUGAAAAUAUAAGACUGGGUCACAGGCAAAAGGCCUACACCAGAACAAUCCAGUAGGCAGUAACUGCACAAGGGCAAAAUUCUUGUCACGUUGUCUAAUGAAUCCCUAGGCCUCAAGCUGCACUUGGAACACAGCAGGUGCUCAGCAAGGCCAACAGGAGCUCAUGUAGGGUUCUGGGAGGUUUAUAGUCCUGGGAGGAACAUGAUGCAUGCAGAAACAAACGAGGCAGACAGACCUAACUGAGGCAGGUGAAGGGAGAUCACUGACACACAACACAAGGAAAACGGGAUUUCACAAAGUGAGUACAGCAGGUCUUGGUGGAGCACGCCUUUACUCCUUCAUUCUGGAGGAAGAGGCGUGCAGAUCUCUGAUAUCGUGCCCAGCCUGGUAUACAUGACAGUCAGGGUUACACAGAGAAUCCUGUCUAGGAAUACAAAACCACAACCAACAAAAGGAAAAACAGAAAUACUUCCUAAGAAGUCAAAAGUGUCAAAUGUACAAUGUCAAAGAGAGGGAGUGAAGAGGCUCGCAGGACAGUCACCCGUGAGGAUGCCAACAAGACUGAUUCUGAGCUCUUGAGUGGGAGGACAGGGAAGCCAAGCCACAUUCUCAAGAAGCUGGGUCUCUUUAUAACAGAUUAAUUAUUCACCAACAGCAUGAAUGGUAAUUCCUCCCCAACUUGCAUUUCUUCUUGUUGGGGAAAGAGAAACACUGUACAGACAAAUAUAAUCAAAAUUCUUACAAAAUAGUCGACCAAUUUUUAAACAAUUCAUGAUUUUGUUUGAUUUUUUUCUCUCUGAAAAGAACUUGAAAAAGUCGUUCCUCAUCUUCUUGUCGGUGCCUUAGUCUCUGUACUCAAAAUAUAAUUCUAUCAAUUCUUUCUGGAACUGAAAUUAAAGCAUCUUCAUCCAAUACCUCAAACUCUAGUCUUUAAGAAAAAGAGAAAAAGUGAAACAGACCUCACAAUUAACACCUUUUGUCUUUUGCUGCACUUAGAAAUCAUGUGAAUUUGUGUGUGUGAAAUCAACGUCUAAAGUAAAAACGUGUGUACUCACAGCAUGCCUCUGGAAAGCAGAAUACAUCCUUUCCCUAUGCAUUCUCAAUUCCAACACCUGGCAGUUACUAGCCAACUGAAACAUGAGAUUACCCAUCAGUUAAAGCUAGUCAGUGGCAAGAUUGAGGUCAAAUAAUAUCUAAUAUCUGUUGACUGGAACAGAAAUCAUAGCAGAGGGGAUGACAGAAGGACUGCAUUUUAAAUUUGGGAAAAAAAUCAGUUUUAUCGCUCUACUCAGGCUUCUGCUGCUGUGUGCUAUGUGCAUAACGGUUAUGACAAGCCAGCAAAGUUCCCCUCUGACCCUCACAUCAAAGCAGGGGCACAUGCGAAUACUUCCAAUUCUUUUAGGUGCUCAUGCUGGGCCUUCAGUGUGCUUUUUAGCUCCCACCUGUAUCCAUGAGAGUCAUUUUUUAAUUUGGAAACCACCAUUUUUUUCUGAACUGAGCUGUUCCUGCAGCUCAGCCAUUCUGUCUGUCAUGCCACCGUAUUAACCCUAUGGGGGAUAACUAAGCCUCAAUGGGCCUAAAGGACAGCAGGCCUUGACAGAUAGUAAAAUCAUGUCUAGCAGAUAUAUCCUGGCAGAUAUCCUGGGUUUACUAGAGGGCCUUGACAACAGUAGCCGAGUCUGAUGAGAGAUGAAAUGGACCAAUGGACAGUGACCCCAUCACCUCAUCAGAGGCCAGCUCAGUGGAUGUCUUCUGGGGCAGGCUGGGCUUGCUUCCUUGCCUACUUUUUCCCACCCACUGGUCCCCAAAGCCACAUGUACUGGGGACACAUACUAGAUCCACUGCCAGAAGCAGUGUCUGAGUUACCUCCCUCUUUCAGGGAUAUGUUGAUUUCUUCCAUUUUUUGUUUGUCUUCAUCCAUGUCUUCCAUUUUUUUGUUUGUCUUUUCCUCCAUAUCUUUAAGGGAGUUUAUCAUUCCAUCUUUAAUGGCCUGUAUCAUCUUCAUAAAGUUAUUCUUAAGGUUGUUUUCCUCUGCUUUUGGAUAUUCAGGUCUUUAUGGAAUAAACCCCUAGUGACUGGUGAUAUCAUAUUCCUAUUUAUGGUGUUGAAUAUGUUCUUAUCCUGUUGCCUAGCCAUCUCUUCUUCCGAUGGAUGCAGGUGGGGUCUGUGAUGCAGAGUGUCCCUCUUCCUGCAAUUGGUGUAGUCUGAGGCUUAGUUGGUCACUCUUCCUAUCCCAGUGUUGGUGAGGGUCCAAGGCUCACCACAAUUAAAACAUCUCACAUUUUCAUUUUUCUUAAAUGUUUAGAAAUUGUUUCUCUGAUCAGAGUAGUAUCAUAAGCUUCAGGUCCAGUAUCAUCCAUGUCUCUAAUCCAUGCAUCUAUUGGUGCUGAUCUUGCCUUUAAAGGCACAAUCAUCCUUUUGCAUUCAGAAUAAGCAUUUUCAAGAGCCAAGAAUUGAAUUAAUAUUUGCCUAGAUUUUGGAUUUGAUACAGUUUGUUCUGUUUACAGCUAAAGUCAAUUUUUGCAAAGAGUCAGUGAAAGCUUCUUUUGGGAUUUGUACAAUGUUAGUAAAUGACCUACACCUCUUUUCUGAUUCUUCAACCUUGUCCCAAACAUUCAGAGCUGCUAAAUGACACAAGACCAAGGUAUGUUUGUUAAAAUUACUCUGCCUUUGUAAUCAAUCUAUUGACCCUUACCUAAUACUGGUCUUGGGAAAUAUCGGUACCUCUCACCCUAUUUCAUUGUUUUAUGGUGGUAAAUUCCUCUUCCUUUCAUGUUAUCCUCUGUAACUGAGGAACAACUUCCAAUAUUGCUUUGACCAGGUCUUUCUAGUCUUGGGAAUGAUUCUGUUCUGAGUUGCCCAUGGAUUUAACAUCUGGUACACCUUGGGUGAAUGAAUACUAUAUGAAAUGACCAUUUCCUUUAAUCUCCUCAAAUCUAUAUAUGUAUAGGAUUCCACUCAACUUCUCCAUAAUCUUGGGGGUACCUGUUGUUUGCUGGUAGUUCUUGUACAGUAUGUGAAUACAUUAAAGUUGGUUUUCAACAACCUUGGGCUGGCCUAUUUCAUUCUUUUCUCAUUCCUCUGCCUGUGUCUGAGAAUUUUUCUUUGUUCAUUAAUGACUCUUUCUAAGCCUUGUAUCUUACUAGUCAACUUUUCAUGUUUGACACAAAAAUCCACUAUGACUAUUAUUGAUAAAAUAUUAAUUACCAGAUUCAUAGUACAUACAAUCAGCAUUAUAUUAAUCUCAGGCAUGUCAUAUAUCUUUCCAUUUUCUGUUUCUAUUUUUGAGUCAUCUGAAGUAGCACUAUACAGAGUCCUAACUCCCUGCAUUGUGAUAUUUCUCAUCCUUACUGUGGGGGAGUUUUAAUAUUACUUUACUGUCUUCAAUUCACCUGACUAUACAGAUUAUCCACAGGAGUGGAAUCUGGGCUGUGCAGAGCAUCAACACAGGCCAUGGGAUGUGAUAGAGGACCUGGGGUGUGUGGCAGAGGUGUGAGAUCCUUAGGAGGUAGAGCAGAGAUGAGGUGACUAGGUUUUUGGAGGUGCUGCUCUUGGAAGAAACUGAGGUAGUUCUUGUGAGAUGCUCAGUUUCUUCAUGUGGGAUUUGUUAGCCUGGGGAUAUAUCUCAGUGGUAGAGGACUUGUCUAAAAAAGUUCAAAGCCUUGUGUUUUUUACUUCAUAUUACAUGAAAAUGUUGAUUUUUUUUAAAUGAAAGAGUGUUUGGUCCCAUUGAGUGAUUAUGGAAUCCUAUAUCUGCAUGUGAUCAGUUCCGCUUAUAUGUGCUCCAGGCAUGAUUUUAUCUUCCUUAUGUGGUGUAGUCAGAGGGUCUCCUAUAAGAACCAAUGACAUAAUAUUUGGAUAUUCAGAUUCCAAAACUGUGGGUCAAACGAAACUCACAUCUUUAUGAGGUAUCCAACCUCAUGUAUUCCUAUAGAGUAGUAGCAAAAUAAAUAAAUAAACCUCAAUUGACAGGACUGUAGAAAAAGUCUUUUCAACAUAUGUUUAAGUUCAAGUAUUUGGGAGACUGAGACAAGAGGAUUAGGAAUUCAGGGCUAUCUUCACUGGCAUCAUGCUUUCACGGCCUGUUUGGCAUAUGAGACGUUCUUUUAAUAAAGAAGGUAGGUCCUUUGUCUAAUAUAAUAAUUAUACAGAGGGCAGAGUAGGGGGAUAAGAAAGUGAGCUACUUAGUUAUCU